rnacentral:rRNA from 1 species
CCUACGGGAGGCAGCAGUCGAGAAUCUUCCGCAAUGGACGAAAGUCUGACGGAGCGGCGCCGCGUGCGGGAUGAAGGCCCUUGGGUUGUAAACCGCUGUCAGAGGGGAUGAAAUCUUCGGAGGUACUCCUCCGAAGUUGACAAAGCCUCAAAGGAAGCACGGGCUAAGUACGUGCCAGCAGCCGCGGUAACACGUACUGUGCGAACGUUAUUCGGAAUCACUGGGCUUAAAGGGUGCGUAGGCGGCGAUUCAAGUCAGAUGUGAAAUGCCUGAGCUCAACUGAGGCAUUGCGUUUGAAACUGAAUUGCUAGAGUAUUUCAGGGGUGUGCGGAACUGCCAGUGGAACGGUGAAAUGUGUUGAUAUUGGCAGGAACACCGGAGGCGAAAGCGGCACACUGGGGAAUAACUGACGCUGAGGCACGAAAGCCAAGGGAGCGAACGGGAUUAGAUACCCCGGUAGUCUUGGCCGUAAACGAUGAGUACUGGGCGGAGGGGUUCCCUUNUGCCGUAGCGAAGCGUUAAGUCUCGCCUGGGGNGUAGUGUGCGAGNGUGUAAGUAGAAGAGUAGUUAGAGNGNGAGAGCGACGACGACGACGAGGAGGAGGAG